rnacentral:rRNA from 1 species
GAUGAACGCUGGCGGUGUGCCUAAUACAUGCAAGUCGAGCGAACAGACGAGGAUCUUACUCCUCUGACGUUAGCGGCGGACGGGUGAGUAACACGUGGAUAACCUACCUAUAAGACUGGGAUAACUUCGGGAAACCGGAGCUAAUACCGGAUAACAUGUUGAACCGCAUGGUUCAACAGUGAAAGACGGUCUUGCUGUCACUUAUAGAUGGAUCCGCGUCGCAUUAGCUAGUUGGUAAGGUAACGGCUUACCAAGGCAACGAUGCGUAGCCGACCUGAGAGGGUGAUCGGCCACACUGGAACUGAGACACGGUCCAGACUCCUACGGGAGGCAGCAGUAGGGAAUCUUCCGCAAUGGGCGAAAGCCUGACGGAGCAACGCCGCGUGAGUGAAGAAGGUCUUCGGACCGUAAAACUCUUUUAGUAGGGAAGAACAAAUGUGUGAGUAACUAUUCACGUCUUGACGUUACCUAAUCAGAAAGCCACGGCUAACUACGUG